CAUGCCUAACACAUGCAAGUCGAACGGAACUUCUUUAAUUGAUUUCUUCGGAAUGAUUUUGAUUAAGUUUAGCGGCGGAAGGGUGAGUAACGCGUGAGUAACCUGGUUCUGAGAGGGGAAUAACAUUCUGAAAAGAAUGCUAAUACCGCAUAACAUAUAUUUAUCGCAUGGUAGAUAUAUCAAAGAUUUAUCGCUCAGAGAUGGACUCGCGUCCGAUUAGUUAGUGGGUGAGGUAACGGCUCACCAAGACCGCGAUCGGUAGCCGGACUGAGAGGUUGAACGGCCACAUUGGGACUGAGACACGGCCCAGACUCCUACGGGAGGCAGCAGUGGGGGAUAUUGCGCAAUGGGGGAAACCCUGACGCAGCAACGCCGCGUGAAGGAUGAAGGUCUUCGGAUUGUAAACUUCUUUUAUUAAGGACGAAGAAAGUGACGGUACUUAAUGAAUAAGCUCCGGCUAACUACGUGCCAGCCGCCGCCGUAA
rnacentral:rRNA from 1 species